rnacentral:lncRNA from 10 species
CUCUGCUGUAGGCCCGGCAAGGCCCCCAGUGAUUACGCUAACUGACUGCGAAAAUGCACAGAGGAGCCCGGCCUCAGCCUCUUCAAUCUAAUCCAAUCUUAAGGAAUGGCAGCUCUGAGUAGCACCGACUGGAUAAUUAUUGGCGCUGACAAGGUAUUAAAAAAAAAAUCAGGGACUACUUGGGAUUUAAAAGCCACGCACGUGAUUCCAAUGCCACUCAGCUCAUGAAAUUUAAUCACUGGACCCCACUGGUGGCAGUUUCUACAGGGGAGACCCAUGGCCACAUGGUGGGGUUUUCAAGUUCUCCAAAGUCAUCGUCCAGCUUCAAGUCUAAAGAAAUCCAUUCAUUUCUUAUUGCUAAGAAAACAGGGAAGAUUUUUACAUCUAAACACGAAGGUUUCACUCUUACAACCAUGGAAGAUUCUAUGCUCAGCUUCCGGCGAGACUAACAGUGACAGAGGAAUCACAAAUACAGCUCAGAAUGGAGAGUUGAGGCAUGGAACGCACAUGGGUUGACAGCCACGCUGAGGACGCAGCUCAGCCUUGUGGCUGACCCUCAGCCCGGGAGCUCCAGAUGGGCAUUUCCUGGUUCCUGGAGGAGCCGCACUCACAGGCAACUGGACACCGGCCUUCUUGGUGCUUCCCUUUCUCAGAGAGCAACAAACAAUGCAACGGCAAAGCUCUGCAGACACCCCGGAAGCAACACUGCUCCCUGCUGUGGGAAAAGGCUGUGGCAAUGUUGGGCUUCACACCUACCAGGGUCAGCCCCCGGACUGCACAGAUGUCAGCCUGUGGGAGGCUUGGCUAUUCUGAGAGCCUGGGCACAAGCUUGUGGUGACUACAGUCCUGGGCCCUGGAGGGCCACAGCUGUCAACUGUAGGAACUUUACUUGAACUCUUCCUUCCCCACAUCCUCAUCUCUACAUUUCUGGUAAUAAUGUUACCCGAAAGGGUAAAUGAAACCAACUAUCUGAAACCGACAGCAAGGUGCCUGGCACGUGGUAAAUGCUUAAUAAAACUUUCGGUUUCCUGAACCUCGACCCUGGGAUUUUUGUCUGCCUCUGUGAAGGCUUGUGCCAGUUACACUCGCAUUUUGCUCAGUGGCUUGGUGGUGCUCACUCUAUGCUACUCGGCCAGCUUCAAUCCUCUACAUAUGCUACACACACUUCCUACCCAUGAGCGAUGGAAUACUGGGCCUUCUCUCAUCUUCUACA